rnacentral:tRNA from 1 species
GCCAGGCUGGUGGAAACGGUAGACACCCCAGACUUAAAAUCUGGUGUCCAGAGAUGGGCGUACGGAUUCGAGUUCCGUGCCUGGUA